GACGAACGCUGGCGGCGUGCUUAACACAUGCAAGUCGAACGGAAAGGCCCUGCUUUUGUGGGGUGCUCGAGUGGCGAACGGGUGAGUAACCCGUGAGUAACCUGCCCUUGACUUUGGGAUAACUUCAGGAAACUGGGGCUAAUACCGGAUAGGAGCUCCUGCUGCAUGGUGGGGGUUGGACCGUUUCGGCGGUUGGGGAUGGACUCGCGGCUUAUCAGCUUGUUGGUGGGGUAGUGGCUUACCAAGGCUUUGACGGGUAGCCGGCCUGAGAGGGUGACCGGCCACAUUGGGACUGAGAUACGGCCCAGACUCCUACGGGAGGCAGCAGUGGGGAAUAUUGCACAAUGGGCGGAAGCCUGAUGCAGCAACGCCGCGUGCGGGAUGACGGCCUUCGGGUUGUAAACCGCUUUCGCCUGUGACGAAGCGUGAGUGACGGUAAUGGGUAAAGAAGCACCGGCUAACUACGUG
rnacentral:rRNA from 1 species